UCGGAUUUUUAUUUUUAAAUAAUAAAAUGGAAAAAAUUAAUGAAGUUUUGUUGGACUCUGUAACAACUAAGUUGAAAAAAGUAAACAAGAAAUAACAAGGCAGAAUUUACACUAUUUCUUAUUGGAAACAAGAUGGAAAUGAUAUUGAACUGUCAAAAGAUUAAAAACUCCAGCUAGUUACUGUUGUUAUAUCAGGGAAGUUUAAGUUUUUUUUAAUUGGAAUAUGAAAUUAAUGUAAAAAUGCUCACAGUAUAGAAAGUUUUGUAACCAGCAAAAUAACUGCCACAAGUUUUAUGGCUUGCAAAUAGGUUUUGCAAGUAUUGUGGCUUGAAAAUAA